GAAAGCCACUAGCAGCAGCAAUCAAGUGUUCCACAAGGAGCCCGGGGGAACAGGGUGUUAAUAAGUGCUGGUUUGGCUCUUGAGGAGGCACGGAGGUGCUUGGAGAUUGUAUAAAACAAACAAGGGUCAACAAUGUACUGAGAUAUGUGGGAUCAACAAGACACAGAGACGGUGCCUUUUUGUGGAAGGAAGGAAAGAAGUGUACAGCUGGAGAGGGAUUCUCGGUCAUUGUGAAGAACUUGUUGCCAGCCUAACUAUAUGAAGCCUUUUGUAACUCUCACUUGCAAGGCAAGUGUAGAGGAAGGAUUUCAAGGACAAAAACAAGGCAUUUUUUUACACCUGUUAGGGGACAUGCUGUUCGAAACUCCAGGUGUUAUCAUGGAGGAGAAUAUGGUAUGAAAGAAAAGGAACUUGUCUGAGAUUCAAAUGGAGCAGCAGAGAUGAGAGCCAUGGGCAAAUGGGAGACAGAAAUCACCUUUUAAGUGUUAAAAAGAAAAUGACAGCACAGGGACAAGCAAUAUCUCCACACAACAGAGAAAAGGCAGUCAGUGGAGGGAUUCACAAUGAGAGGUAACACGAGCAAACAGAUAGGCUACAAAAAUUAUUUUUGCAGAGGUGCUCAGAGGAAUACUGGCAAGGCAAGGCUGUUUUAAUGCUAAAGGAUGCAGCAAGAAUGAGACCCAAGUUAAUGAGCUCCUGGUUGAGGGUUUUAUUGUGUAACUGGAUAAGCAAGUUAGAUUUUAUUUUUACUUUAAAAAAAGAGGAGAAAUUUAAACUAGGGGAUGGGUGUAAGAAGCUAAAGAGAAGCUCACACAUAGACUGUGAGUUUGAUGCAAGGUCACUCUGUUAUCCAAUGGUUUAAGAAAGAACCAGCAGGAAAGAAUGGGCUUUGACAGGAAGAGCUCUGCUGCUGUUUGGCAUAACUCGCUGACAUCUCCUCAUGAAUUGCUAACCAAGUAGAUAUUUUAGUUUGGACAGGAAGAGAACUCUUUUGUGCAGACAGCAGAUUCAUUGGUUGAGGAAAGAGUCAGGGAGUGGUGUUUGCAGAGCAGAAUAUUCAAAAUUAGAGGAGUGCAGGAAAGAGGAUGGCAGGUCUAUAGAAAUAAAAAAAAGGAGAAGAUUUGGCCAUGAUCCAGGUGGCUGGAAAGCUGGGAUGGCUGGGGCUGUCCUGGGGCAGGGAUAUACCAGAGAUGCUUGAUUCCAGCUGGGCUGGGAGUAAAGCCAAAGAGACAGAGUGGAGCUACUGCUUUUGAGAAAGGGCCCCAAAACCUCAAGGUGAAAUGGGCUGUUUGGCAGGACAGAAGGUAUGGGUCACACCAGUGAAAUACCACUUUAAAUUACUAUAUCUUAUGACUGAAUAGAAAGAAGAACAUACUUGUUCUCUAACUCUAAUAACCUGGCAUUGUUCACUUCUUAGUUGUGUGUAAGCCAAGCUUCCCAUCAUGGUGGCUCAAACUUGAAAUGACCACUGUCUCUAAGAAGACUAGGAGAUAAAACCUAUUUAUAGCAGUGGACUCUCCCACCAGGCUGUACAACUAGGGCUUUCAAAGGAAAUAAA